rnacentral:rRNA from 1 species
AGUGAACGCUGGCGGUAGGCCUAACACAUGCAAGUCGAACGGCAGCACAGUAAGAGCUUGCUCUUACGGGUGGCGAGUGGCGGACGGGUGAGGAAUACAUCGGAAUCUACUUUUUCGUGGGGGAUAACGUAGGGAAACUUACGCUAAUACCGCAUACGACCUACGGGUGAAAGCAGGGGAUCUUCGGACCUUGCGCGAUUGAAUGAGCCGAUGUCGGAUUAGCUAGUUGGCGGGGUAAAGGCCCACCAAGGCGACGAUCCGUAGCUGGUCUGAGAGGAGGAUCAGCCACACUGGAACUGAGACACGGUCCAGACUCCUACGGGAGGCAGCAGUGGGGAAUAUUGGACAAUGGGCGCAAGCCUGAUCCAGCCAUACCGCGUGGGUGAAGAAGGCCUUCGGGUUGUAAAGCCCUUUUGUUGGGAAAGAAAAGCAGCAGGGUAAUACCCCGCUGUUCUGACGGUACCCAAAGAAUAAGCACCGGCUAACUUCGUG